GGGGAAUAUUGGACAAUGGGCGCAAGCCUGAUCCAGCAAUGCCGCGUGUGUGAAGAAGGUCUCGGAUUGUAAAGCACUUUCGGCGGGGACGAUGAUGACGGUACCCGCAGAAGAAGCCCCGGCUAACUUCGUGCCAGCAGCCGCGGUAAUACGAAGGGGGCUAGCGUUGCUCGGAAUGACUGGGCGUAAAGGGCGCGUAGGCGGUUUGUACAGUCAGGUGUGAAAUUCCCGGGCUCAACCUGGGGGCUGCACUUGAUACGUAUGGACUGGAGUGGGGAAGAGGGUCGUGGAAUUCCCAGUGUAGAGGUGAAAUUCGUAGAUAUUGGGAAGAACACCGGUGGCGAAGGCGGCGACCUGGUCCUUGACUGACGCUGAGGUGCGAAAGCGUGGGGAGCAAAC
rnacentral:rRNA from 1 species